rnacentral:lncRNA from 1 species
AUGACCUAACCAAUCUCUGCUCUGACCUACCAGAGCCCCAAUCCCUGCUCAUUAAAAAUCUUCUCUAGUCUACCGCGCUACGCCAGCUGCUGCCGAGCGUCGUUGCCGACGCCUCACGGCCCAAACCCUAACCCACCUCUCACGCGCGUCGCCGCCACCAUCGCCGUUCCCAUUCCACCUCGUCACGUCCCUGCCGUAUUCACCCUGUCCGAAACCUUGGACAUUGGUUUCUGAAGGUAGGAGCUUUUGGAUCAUCCAGCGAUUACUUAAUCCCAAGCUAACUAUUCUCCACAAAUUUCCAUCUAGAUCCGCUUUUGGUUUGGUAACAGAGGUGGAUUUACAUUGGUUCGAUGUUCAUUUCUUAUGCUGCUUUCAGGCCACCAGGUUACCUAGAAUCAUCAUGUCAGGAAGAGAUCGCCUGCCGCGCCGUUUUGUCGAAGAUGGAAGGGGCUAUGUUGACGCCCGUGUGGCUGAGGAUCGCAGGGGUCAUCAUCCUGGUAUCCGAGUGGUUGAUGAUCGUAGGGGCCAUCAUGAGAUCCAUGUAGUCGAUGAUCGCAGAGCCUAUCCUGCAGGUCGUGUGAUUGAGGAUCGUAGAGCCUACCCUGAGAUUCACGAAAGGCCGCUCAUGAGGGUGGCUCCUCGCUCUCACCCGGAUGUCCUAGAGGAAGAAAUUCAGUUGCACAAGGUUGAUUUCCGCAGGCUUAUGGCUGAUCGUCAUGCUCUAGCUGAGGAACGGAUGGAGUUGCACAGGGAGUUGCAAGCCGGAAAGGAGGAGGUCUGUCACCUUAACAUGAUCAUCGCAGAGAUUAAUGCCAAGAAGGAAGCUUAUAUCAGCGAGCUCGUUGACAAGAGAAGGAAGCUUGAAGCUGAACUUAGAUCAAAUGAGCCUUUGAGAGAUGAGGUUGUGCAUCUUCGUGGUGAAAUCGAGAAGCUCCUUGCUGUUAGGAAAGAACUCUCUGCAAAGGCUGCAUCACUCAUGCAGGAGCUGAGUAGGGAGAGAUCUGAUAAACAACAGUUACCUAUGCUGAAAGCAGAGAUUGAGGGCCUUCAACUGGAACUUACUCAUGCAAGGUACACACACCAUCUCUUUUGCUGGACCUGACUCAGUUAUCCCAGUAAAUUGUUUGGGGACUGGAAACUUCGAGUAUCAUUGGUUUCUAUAAUUGUAUUGUUUGCAGGAAUGCAUGUGAAUUGGAGCAGAAGGGGAAUUUCGAGUUGGUGGAACAAAGGAAAGCAAUGGAGAAGAGUAUGAUUUCGAUGGCACAAGAAAUUCAACAAAUGCGGGCCGAAUUAGCUAAUUUUGAUGGCAGACCAUGGGGCACAGGUAUGUUAUUGGGAUCUUCUACAGUGUUUGUAAAUUUCAGUUAUCCAUUCUACAUAUUUUCCUUUUUCACUGUCAUAUUUUUUCUGGAUUUGAAGUUGUACAUGCACAUAUGGUAGGGUUCUGUAUUAUCAGCAAUCCUGAGUUAGGAAUCUGCUAUCUGCCAGCACUUUGCAUGGGUUUCUAAGAAAGAGGACAUCAGCCAAUUACUUAAUUUGUUUGGAGAUGCUAGUUGUCAAUUAAUAUUGGAAACGCAUUGAUGCUACUACUGAACAUAUUAUGCGUGCCAGUGUGAACUUCUGGAUUGACACAUUGCAAANNNNNNNNNNNNNNNNNNNNNNNNNNNNNNNNNNNNNNNNNNNNNNNNNNNNNNNNNNNNNNNNNNNNNNNNNNNNNNNNNNNNNNNNNNNNNNNNNNNNNNNNNNNNNNNNNNNNNNNNNNNNNNNNNNNNNNNNNNNNNNNNNNNNNNNNNNNNNNNNNNNNNNNNNNNNNNNNNNNNNNNNNNNNNNNNNNNNNNNNNNNNNNNNNNNNNNNNNNNNNNNNNNNNNNNNNNNNNNNNNNNNNNNNNNNNNNNNNNNNNNNNNNNNNNNNNNNNNNNNNNNNNNNNNNNNNNNNNNNNNNNNNNNNNNNNNNNGGGAUGACAGAGAUGCCGCUAGUGUGGUACUGUUGCACAUGAGACAGGGGGAGGGCAAAAGGCCAUCCUAUUUUCUUCCUUGCCUUGAUAGAUUGCCUGCUUAGAGCAUCUCCAACAGCUCCCCAUUCCCCAAUAAUUUCCUGGUAUUGGGGGAGUUGAGCCAAAAACUCUGCUCCAACAGCUUCCCUUUCCCCAAUAAAUUAUUGGUGAUCACUAAUAAAACAACCCAUCUUUCCCUAAAUGGAGGGCGAGUUGGCCCUCUCCCAAUAUGAUCCCCUAUACUGCGAUGUCAGCGCUCCGCUAAAUGGCCACUGGACCACUGCUGCCGCCGCUCAGCUGCCACGGUGCAGACUGCCGCCGCUGCUGACGGACCAUCGCCGAACAGCCGCCCCGCCGCUGUUGGAGAUGCUCUUACAACUAGGGAUAGAUUGCAAUACAAGAGAUAUGAUAUACCUUGUCUAAUGUCUUCUACUUUAAUGAUUUCUUAAUUCGCACUUUCACUACCUCGUAAUUUAGGCACACACUCUGACACUCAUAUUUAAAUUCAAAGGCCUAACUCGAUGGGCAAGGCUAGGAAAAUUGUAGCCAUCUUAGGCUCAUUAAAGCCACUGCCUAUCCCAUUGUCCGGGGUCUAACCCUACGUGGCAGUUUCUUGUGCCCACCGAUUACUACCCUACAAUGACAUGGCUCCCAAUAUAUAGAGAAUUUUGCGUUGAAAUGUCUUGAUUUAUGAUUGGUAAUUUUUUUGAGCAGGAUCUCCCGCAUUUUCAUUUUUAAUAGAAAUUGUCUUCUUAUAUCUGACAAGGUGAUAUUUACAUUAUAACUACAUACACAAAAUAUAUGUUUUUAAAUAGUAUACGUGGAGGGUCUUCAGUUCAUAUGCUGGGCCCUUCUCGAGUUUGCCAGUCUUUCUGGGUAUAUACAAAUUUUAAAAGGAGUUAAAACCAUGCCGAAUUUUGUACUUAGUAUGCGUCCAAAAUGCAUGUGUGGAUGUUUUUUCUUUACUGCUGGUAUGGAUGGAAAUCAUGUUAUUUUCUGUUACCAGAAUAUUAUCAGUUAUCCUGUAGCUCGCUUACAUGCAUUAAAAAAAUAAUGAGAAGUGCCCCCCCUAUACACUAUUAAGAAGACAACAUGUUACAUAUCAGCCUCACGAAAUGAAUCAACGAGAUUUAAUCUGGCUACAGCCUGAUCUUUUUGCAGUUUCCUACCUCAACGUUUACUUUGUACUACUUUAGUGCCCGUGCGUGGCCACGGAAUAAUAAACUGAGAUGAAGUUACAUUAGUUAAAAUAUCAUUGUAAUUCAUGACGGGUGUGUUUGGUUUGAGUCAUCAGGUGGAACGUAACAGGUCCGUUCCGUCCCCAGGGGUCAUUCCCUUGUUUGGUUGGGUCGAGGAACGAGAACCUACUCGUUCUAGGGAACGGCAUAUUCCCUCUAUAUGCGGAAUGUGCUCGUACCUCCGAUUUGGAGGAACCACGCGGAACCGCUCUUGCACCUCACCUCUCCCCUCGAUUCACUCACCCCAAAGGCCCAAUCCCCAUCUUUAUCUCAGCGCCGCCGCCCGCCUCUCUCCCCCUGUCGAUCUGCCACUAGCGCUGGACUCACAUGGCACCGCCUCUCCCUCCCCGGCGGCGAACUAGGAUCGGGGCGGCGGGCAAGCAGGUAUGACGUCUGGUACCGGCGAGGUGGGCGGCGAGAUGGUCUCCGGCAGCGGCGACUGCGAAGGAAGCCAUGACCCAGCAUGGACUACCUCCGCCCGGAGUUCUUCAUCACGCCUGAAGAGAGCAGGGCAGCUGCAACGCCGCAGCGCAGAUAUUGUUGCCGAUCUGGCCGGGAGUAGAGCAGCGGCUACAACGCAGCAGAAAGCACAGGAGUAGAUCAACGGUGCUGGCAGCAGGGAAGAGGAGUAGCGAUGACAUGCAAGCAAGUCCGGUGAUGAAGGGCAGCAGCAGGGAAGAGGGAGCUGGACAUCUCACCGAUCUGGAUUGGUUUUAGGGACUAAUGUGUGCCGUUCAUCCAGAAGAACCUCACCUCUACUAGUUCUAAGAGUUUUUAAUUAAUUUUGUUUCUAACCUUUUCAUUGGAUGGAAGAAACAGUAGUUCAUCCUGGUUUUGAUUUUCUUCAAUUUUUUCAUCUUUUCAAGAGAGAUGUGAGGUAAAAUUUAGACAUAUUUGUUCAAAAUUGUAUAGUAUUGGUAGUUGACUUCUUGGUAUAUGCCAUGAGUAUAUAUUAAAAUCAAGGAUGUCAUGCAUAUAUGAGAACUUCACCAUUCCUACAAGAGAGAUGAGUUGAAUCAAAUUUGUCUUUGUUCCAUUCCUUCAACCAAACAGUGAGACAGAACCAUUCCAUUCCAUCAUUUGACUGCAACCAAACACAAGAAUGGAAUGGACCCAUUCUAAUGGAAUGGAACCAUGACAUUAGAUUCUACUUGGUUCCUCAACCAAACACACCCGACGUGUGCGUUGUAUGUGGCUUAUGACCGUUGCAACAAUAUCACCUUACACUUGCUUCCACUCGACGAUCACCUCAUGCCACUUGUAUCUCUUUCCUUGCAGAACGCAACACGAUGCAUGUGAAAAUUCAUGUGUAUACAAAUAAUUUAGAUAGUGUUCCAAAAACAUGGAAAUUCCACUUCGCCACAAGAGAUAUAUAUAUACAUAAUUGUCCGGUGUAACUUCGUACUAUCAAACGAAAUCGAGUAUCAAGCAUGUCAAAUACUGAAUAACAAAAUUGGGCAUAACACAUCCAACACGGGUGAUGGAGUGCCUUGACUUAAAUCAAGGAAACACCAUAAGAACUGAUUCUAUAUUCAUGUUUGUCAUCCGUAUAUAAUCUGACAUAACAUUCUGAUUGUAUUAAGUAAAGUGAUUUUCACCAUGAGAACAGAACAAGCACUGAUUCUUUCUUACCAUGAAAUUCAGCCACCAAAUCUAUCCAGUUGCUCUAUACCUCCCUUUCUUUCUCCUGCUUUGAUCCUAAAAGUUGUCCCAGCUCUGCGUCAACAUGAGCAACAGCUCAUUCCACUGUCUGUUUUGCUUUGCUAUCUAGCAGCAAAAAGUAUACCCAAAUCAAAAAUAGAAAUAACCACAUGGACAGAACUAUUUUUUUUCUUGCUGACCAAAUAAGUUUGUUCGUAUCAAACUGUAUGGUUAAGUGGAAGCCCAUUAACCUAUUGUAACAUGUAAACUUUUCAUUUUAACCUCGAGUGUUUAUUUUGCUGGGUUCAUUCUUGCUCACUAUAGUAGUGAUUCUUCAAAACAAACAUAUACAUCCACAUGAGAGCUAUACACUAUAGCCCUGCGUGUGCACAUUUUUAUUUUCUUCUCACGUUCCACCCAGCUAACCAUGUAUGUCCUAAUCUUAGUAUUCCGGAUCGCGGGUCGGUGCCGUGUUCUACGACCCAGGGUUGUCGACCCAAAUCAAAGGUUGGGAUCUACUCUGGGGUCAACGUGGAUCGAUGGCCGGGACGCGAUCCCGGUGGGGAGAGAGGCAGAGAGUGCGAACUGAGGGAAAUGUCGAGAAAUAAUAGAUGAAUACAGAGAACAUCGUCGGACUCGUACCUCCGCAAACCCCCCAUCAUCUGUCUUCCAUCAUUGCUGCAGUUCUUCAUCACCAUGUCCGCCACUGGAGGAUACAGAGAUGUGUAACGAAUUGAUGAGGCGAAGGAGCAAAGGAACUUGCCAUGGAAAGGCAACGGAUGGGUAGCCUUGGCAGCGGUGUGCAACAGCCAAAAGGCAAAAUGAAAAUGAAGGAAGUGGCGGCGGUGGAGAGGAGACUGACAACUAUGGUCCUAACACACAUGGUAGCAAUAAGAAAGGAUAUUCAUUAAUUCAUAUUAUGAAGGUCAGAAAUAGACAUGCAUCGGUGUCCUUCAACAACUUUAGUCAUGUUUCCAUUAGUACAGGAAAUAAAAACAUCAUGUAAGACAGAAACAAGAUAGUCCAGGGCAGCCAUUUGGUUUGUGUGUUAGGGAGCUCUUUAUUUGAUGUAGCUAAUCUUUUUUCACCAUCAUAGUUUAACCUGUAGGCUGUAGCAAUAUAUAUCCGAGUGUUCUUCUAUAGAUGUAAGUACAAUCAUAGUUCAAAAAAGUGCUAGGCGUUAAUUGUGCGUCUUGCCGCCGCCUUGCGCUUUUCUGAUCAAAGCGCAUGCUUAUGCGCAAUUAGGCGUAGAUUAAGCGCAGCUAUGCACUAGGCGUUUUGCUAUCGCCUAGAGCCUAGGCGCACUUAAGCGCUUGCUUAGGCGCGCCUUUUUUAACUAUGAGUACAAUGCGUUGCUACGGAAGAAAGAAAAAUCAAAUUGCAGUGACAAACAACGUGGUAGAAAUAUCCAAUAUGGAGAGGUCAAGCGUACAUCGUAUGUGAAAUCCUUGCUUUUUCUCACGGGUUAAGAAAAUAUUACCACAUGCAACCAGCCUUGUUUUCCUCUGAUUCAAAGAGUCAAACUCUUUGGGACCAUUGUGCACUUUGGAUUCAGAACCAGCAAGGCUACUAGAGAAUCACCAACAAGCUCCAAACUGGAAGCUUCCCCGCAUUACCACUGUCCACUGCCAAAAUUAACCCAUCCUUAUAAAGUGGAGAGCACGAGUACUGUGUCUUGUUCUGUGCAUACUUCCGCUCGAUCCCAUUGGUUCACUUCAUGAUGAUUGAAGUGAUGUUGCUCACGAUGGCGCUCGCCGCAGCGCUGUGCAUCCACUUGGACCCGCCACCUUUCGAGGACUUCUCCGUGGCCGACCUGAAGGCCAC